UACGGAGGAGGCAAGCGUUAUCCGGAGUUAUUGGGCGUAAAGCGUCCGCAGGUGGCGAUUCAAGUCUGCGGUUAAAGACUGGGGCUUAACCCUGGAAAGGCCGUGGAAACUGAAACGCUAGAGUGCAGUAGGGGUAGAGGGAAUUCCCGGUGUAGCGGUGAAAUGCGUAGAGCUCGGGAAGAACAUCGGUGGCGAAAGCGCUCUGCUGGACUGCAACUGACACUCAGGGACGAAAGCUAGGGGAGCGAAAGGG
rnacentral:rRNA from 1 species